GCUGGCACUUGGACUCUCAUCUCAGAGUAAAUUAGCUUCAGAUAUCAGAAUAGUACACUGGUUCAGAAAUCAGAAUAACUACUAUCUGGGUGCAACUUGCUGGCAGGGCAGUUAAAUUAGAUAUCUUAUUUUUCAUUGUAUCUUUCUUAUUACUUUUACAAAUUAGUGUUCAAGACAAUCUUCUGUUGUUGCAUUCCAGCAAGUUAGUUUACAGCCGAAGAUAGUUUAUCCAAUCCAAAUGAUGCAGGUCGAACAAAACUUAUGGCUGGGGUAAAAAUAUUUGUGGUGAUCAGCAUCUUCCUCUCGCUUUGCUGUUAAGAUGUCGACGCGGCGCUACGCAACGGAUGAUUUAUACUACUACCAUGUUUUUUAUGUUGGGUCUGAGAAACUAGAGAAUUCAUGCCUCUUUGUCAUGCCAAGAGUAUUCUAGGGAUUUCUUAUGAAUAUACUGUAUGUAAUAUGGGAUGGCUAUUUUGAUUAAGAGAUCAAUUUUUAUGCAGGUUUAUCUCCACUCUUCUCAGCCUGGGAAUCAUCAUGUGCUUGCUGACCUGCUCGGGCCACAUCGCCGCUGAAACUGCAAACAGCCCCUGCCUGUCUUGUCACGUGAUCUUUGUAUUCUUGCUUGUGAUACUGGAAGCUGCAAUCGCCGCCGAUGUAUUUCUGAAUAGCUACUGGGAGGAGGACAAAUCCCACCAGACUUGGCUCUAAUUGAAGUUAUCAUAAGAGUAAGCAAUCAGCACUUGUUGUGCUGUUUUCUGAUUCUACUGAGAAACUCAAAAUUUGCAGUGUAAGAUCAAACUUUUGCUCGCAGAAUAUUGAAUGUGCGCUAAAAAGUAUGUAGAUUUACUCAUGAGGGCAGAAUCCUGUGAAUUUCUUUUGAAUCGAUUGCUCAAUUAGGAAUAAUAACACAC